rnacentral:rRNA from 1 species
AUUGAACGCUGGCGGCAUGCCUUACACAUGCAAGUCGAACGGCAGCGGACCUUCGGGUGCCGGCGAGUGGCGAACGGGUGAGUAAUAUAUCGGAACGUACCUUUCAGUGGGGGAUAACGUAGCGAAAGUUACGCUAAUACCGCAUAUUCUGUGAGCAGGAAAGCAGGGGAUCGCAAGACCUUGCGCUGAUUGAGCGGCCGAUAUCAGAUUAGCUAGUUGGUGAGGUAAAGGCUCACCAAGGCGACGAUCUGUAGCGGGUCUGAGAGGAUGAUCCGCCACACUGGAACUGAGACACGGUCCAGACUCCUACGGAGGCAGCAGUGGGGAAUUUUGGACAAUGGGCGCAAGCCUGAUCCAGCCAUGCCGCGUGAGUGAAGAAGGCCUCGGUUGUAAGUACGUC